rnacentral:rRNA from 1 species
GAAUAUUGCACAAUGGGGGAAACCCUGAUGCAGCGACGCCGCGUGCAGGAAGAAGGUCUUCGGAUCGUAAACUUCUAUCAGCAGGGAAGAAGGAAGCGACCGUACCUGAGUAAGAAGCCCCGGCUAACUACGUGCCAGCAGCCGCGGUAAUACGUAGGGGGCGAGCGUUCGCCGGAAUUACUGGGGGUAAAGGGUGCGUAGGCGGUAUGGCAAGUCAGUUGUGAAACCCCCUGGCUCAACCAGGGGCUUGCAAUUGAAACUGUCAUACUAGAGUGCAGGAGAGGAAAGCGGAAUUCCUAGUGUAGCGGUGAAAUGCGUAGAUAUUAGGAAGAACACCAGUGGCGAAGGCGGCUUUCUGGACUGUAACAGACGCUGAGGCACGAAAGCGUGGGGAGCGAACA